rnacentral:lncRNA from 1 species
GUAAAUCAUUUUUAAAAGCUUAGAAGUAAAUGAAAAGAUAGCAUUUAGUUAUUUUUUGAUAAUGGCUUUGUUUAAGAUUCUGUUAGUAAGGAUAAGGACGAUUAUAUAUUUUUUUAAAUUUACCUAAACUGCUCAGGUGUGCACACGCGCGUUUUCACGAUGUAAGAGGAGCUUUUUCUCUUUAAAUUUUACCAUUUUUCUAUGAUUGCUUCGUUACUGCAUUUUCUAUAGCUAUUUGUUUUCUUUUUUUUCCGCUCAUCACUUUUUUUUAUCUCUGGGUUUUACGAAUUCUAACCAAAUUUGAAUUUGUGGACAGUUAACGUUAGCUAUAUAAGUUACUUAUUUCAUUGGGUAUUAAUGGAUGGUAAUUAUUCUAAAUUAUCUAAAGAUCUUACAGAAAAAAUUGAAAGACAAAUUUAUAAUUUAUCUAAAAAGCAUAAAAACCAAUUUUCUGAUAUUGAUAGAUUUAAAUUAACUCCACAUAAUAUGUCGUUUAAAAUUUUCACUAUCCAUUGGAAAGUAAUAAUUGAAUUCAUGGAAAGUCACAAAAACUUGUUGUGUUCAUCCACUGUUGAUUUUAAUAUGGCAACAUGGGUGCAAUCAAUAGGACCUAUAACACCAGGGAAAUUGGAUCUUUCCAUAAAUGUUAAUUUUUUAAUUUUUCUUUCAUCUCUUAUAUUUGGAAAAUUAAUAAGUCGGUCAGCAAGGGGAUUGUCAAUAAUUUCAGUAAUUUUAUGGAUCCAACGACUUGCAGUAGUUUCGCUAAUAGUGGAAUAAAAUCGCUCCUAAAAGUCGCUUAUUUCUAAGGGUGCGUGAUACAAAGGUAUAACUAAAUGAAACUUAUACCAUCAUGUAGAGGACCAUCUGGGGCAUCGAAAAUGAUAAAGUACAACUUUUUUUAGUAGGCUAAACUUUGCAAAUGGUCCUUAAGCGUGUCUAAGCGCAAAUUAGAAAAACUGCGUUUUUCUAAACAUAAACCGUUGUAUUUACAUAAAUAUGUGACAUAGAAAUCUGAAUUUUUGCACAGAUAUAGCUUAAACAUAAGCGCAUCUGGUGACAAUUAAGGAAUUUUAAAAAUAUAAAAAGGUUUUUUGUUUUUAAAUUAGGAAUAUCAAAUUUUCAAAAUGGGGCAUCUAAAACUUCACCCUGCGGUGAGCUAUGCGAAAUAUUGAAAAUUUUUAUACAUAUAUAUCGAAUGAAAUGAAGCCAUAACAUGUGGAAAGUUUAAAAAAAAAAUUAAGUUGCUAACUUGAAGGGUUAGAGAAAUAUGAUUUUUCUAAUAGAAUCCAAAAAUGCGCUCUAUAAAUUCAAAUGAACUGCAGGCGCGGCGCCGGCGUGCGUAUACUAUAAAAGGGCGCUCGUACAUGGCGUGUGGAGUGUCGUGUAGAGUGGGCACUGCUAAUCGAUUAAAAGUAAGUCUAAAACUAAGUCUGAAUUACUAUCCAAAUUUGAGCCAUAUGGAGCAAUUAAUUCAGCUGAAAUUGUCAAUUCACUUAUAAUAGAUGGUAUGGUACUUAUUCGAGGACUUAAUGAAAAAUCAUUUUCCACUUUUAAUGAACUCGCAUGUAUUUUUCUGAAACAAAUUCUUUCAAUAAGCCGAAAGGAUUGGAAAAAUAAGAAUAACAGUGGUUUUUGAUAAAUAUGAUAAAUCCGUCACGUCAUUGGAAAGACGUAGAAGAGGUGAUUUUACAGAUGCGCAUGCAUAUGAAGUUUUUGGAUGUAGGAAGGUGGUAAAAUUUAGGGAUUUUUGGAGAUUGUCAGAAAAUAAACGAUCUCUACUAAAAUUUCUGACCGCUUAUCUUCUAAAAAAUUCACCUGAUCUUUUGCAAACAGAAGAAACUCUGAUCAUUGCUGGUGGUUUUGAGAAUCCAGACUCAUGUUUUUUAGUUGACAAAAAUGCUGUUACCGAAUUAAAAGAUCUGACAUCAAAUCAUAAUGAGGCUGAUACACGAAUUAUACUUCAUGUUUCAUAUGAAUACCAAAUGCUUCAAGAAAAGGUGCUAGUAAAGUCUGUAGAUACCGACGUUGUCAUAUUACUAAUUUUUUACUAUUCUGAAUAUAUAAAAGCUAAUUCGGAAAAAAAGACCUUUUGAUCGAAUUAGGACAAGGCAACAAAAAAAGGAUUAUUUCGAUAUCCGAAAUAGUAAAUAAACUAGGAUAUCAAAUUUGCCAGUGUUUACCAGCCCUGCAUGUGUUAACAGGGUGUGACACAACAAAUGCAAUGUUUAAAAUUGGUAAAAAAACAGCCUAUGACGUAUUUUCAAAAAAUAUACAAACAUGUAAAACCCUUUCAAAUCUACACUCUGACUAUAACUGAAGCAGUUGAUAUUGCCACAAAUUUUGCACUGGCUUUAUAUAAAAAUAAAAACAAGGACAUUAAUACACUUAAUGCACUGAGCUACCAACUCACAACAACUUCGAAUAAGUCCGCAUCAGAACUUCCACCAACAGACGACGCAUUUUAUCAGCAUGUACUAAGGUGCAUAUUGCAACUGCGUAGGAUAUGGACUUCCAGUCAUAUACCUAUUAUGCCUACCCUUGACUCCAUUAAUUUUGGUUGAACCAAAAUUAACCAUAUUCUGGAGCCCGUUCUAAUGACUGCUGAUCCCAUACCUGGGGAUAUAAGACAAAUAUUGGACUUCUUCUGCAAGGAUAAACAGUGCUCUGAUAAUAAAUGUGUAUGCCUAAAAGAAGGGUUAAAAUGCUGCAGCGAUUGUUCCUGCAAAAAUUGUCAGAACCAUAACAUCCCUGACGUAUAUGAUGAUGACGAAGAGGAAAAUAUUUAGGAUGCAAAAAAAAGUUUGCACCGCAAACCUUGGUCAUAUUUAGACUGAUAUUGGGGUAGCCGCUGCCAGCAUCAGCGCGCGUCCAAUGGCCGUUAUAUAAAAAUUCAUAUUUUUGUAACUGUUUAAGUUAGCAACUUAAACUGUUAAUUUUUUUUAAACUUUCCACAUGUUCUGGCUAUAUUGAAUUCAAUAUAUAUGUAUACAAAUUUUCAAUAUUUCGCAUAGCUCACCGCUGGUGAAGUUUUGGAU